rnacentral:rRNA from 1 species
UACAGAGGUCCCAAGCGUUGUUCGGAUUCACUGGGCGUAAAAGGGUGCGUAGGCGGUCGGGUAAGUCUGAUGUGAAAUCUCACAGCUUAACUGUGAAACUGCAUUGGAUACUAUCCGGCUCGAGGAAUGGAGGGGAGACUGGAAUACUUGGUGUAGCAGUGAAAUGCGUAGAUAUCAAGUGGAACACCAGUGGCGAAGGCGAGUCUCUGGACAUUUCCUGACGCUGAGGCACGAAAGCCAGGGAGCAAACGGG